GACGAACGCUGGCGGCGUGCUUAACACAUGCAAGUCGAACGAAGUGGCGAACGGGUGAGUAACGCGUAAUCAACCUACUCUUCAGAGGGGGAUAACAGUUGGAAACGACUGCUAAUACCGCAUACUGAAGGACGGGAUUGCGUGUGAUUAGCUAGUUGGAGGGGUAACGGCCCACCAAGGCGAUGAUCAGUAGCCGGUCUGAGAGGAUGAACGGCCACACUGGGACUGAGACACGGCCCAGACUCCUACGGGAGGCAGCAGUGGGGAAUCUUCCGCAAUGGACGAAAGUCUGACCGAGCAACGCCGCGUGAGUGAAGAAGGUUUUCGGGUCGUAAAGCUCUGUUGUUAGGGAAGCGGUAUCUAACGAGGAAGCCACGGCUAACUACGUGCCAGCAGCCGCGGUAAUAC
rnacentral:rRNA from 1 species